ACCCAACAUCCGACAUGGUACCAAUCGGUGUAGCCAUCCCGCUUGAUUGAGUGUAGUUAGAUGAACGUGUCGCUCACUGUCAUGUCACCACGAAGGAGAGGGCGAAGCGAGCAGUCAUGCCGCUCACGAACACUCUAAAAACAUGAUUGUUGGCCUUCACCCGAGCAGGUAAACUCUUGGAUGAUACUCAUUUCAAAGACAUGUUCUCCUAGCGCUCAGACGCACAAUAACUAGAAUGUAGUGCUUGGCUAAUAGCUGAAGGAGCAGAAAAGU
rnacentral:lncRNA from 7 species